rfam:Pseudomonas sp. HTK17 Contig_13, whole genome shotgun sequence.
CGCGGACGCCGGGCCGUUGGCAGUCGAUCAUCGUAUGCUGCCCGGAAUCCGGUCCGCG